rnacentral:rRNA from 1 species
GACGAACGCUGGCGGCGUGCUUAACACAUGCAAGUCGAACGGGCCCGCUCCCUUUUUUGGGGGUGGGUUGAGUGGCGAACGGGUGAGUAUCACGUGAGUAACCUGCCCCCUGCUCCUGGAUAACUGCUUGAAAGGGCGGCUAAUACGGGGUGUGCCGGCUGGUCCGCAUGGGCCUGGUCGGGAUAGUUUCAUCUUCGGGUGUUUCGGUGGGGGAUGGGCUCGCGGCCUAUCAGCUUGUUGGUGGGGUGAUGGCCCACCAAGGCGGUGACGGGUAGCCGGCCUGAGAGGGUGGGCGGCCACCCUGGGACUGAGACACGGCCCAGACUCCUGCGGGAGGCAGCAGUGGGGGGUAUUGCACAAUGGGCGGAAGCCUGAUGCAGCGACGUCGCGUGAGGGAUGGAGGCCUUCGGGUUGUGAACCUCUUUCUCCGGUGGUGAAGGCCCUGUCCGUUGCGGCGGGGUUGACGGUAGCCGGGUAUGAAGCGCCGGCUAACUACGUG